UAGGGAAUCUUCCACAAUGGACGCAAGUCUGAUGGAGCAACGCCGCGUGAGUGAAGAAGGUUUUCGGAUCGUAAAGCUCUGUUGUUGGUGAAGAAGGAUAGAGGCAGUAACUGGUGUUUAUUUGACGGUAAUCAACCAGAAAGUCGCUAACUACGUGCCAGCAGCCGCGGUAAUACGUAGGUGGCAAGCGUUGUCCGGAUUUAUUGGGCGUAAAGCGAGCGCAGGCGGAAUGAUAAGUCUGAUGUGAAAGCCCACGGCUCAACCGUGGAACUGCAUCGGAAACUGUCAUUCUUGAGUGCAGAAGAGGAGAGUGGAAUUCCAUGUGUAGCUGUGGAAUGCGUAGAUAUAUGGAAGAACACCAGUGGCGAAGGCGGCUCUCUGGUCUGCAACUGACGCUGAGGCUCGAAAGCAUGGGUAGCGAACAGG
rnacentral:rRNA from 1 species